rnacentral:tRNA from 1 species
GGGCCCGUGGCUCAGCUAGGUUAGAGCGCUCGACUGAUAAUCGAGAGGUCCUGAGUUCGAAUCUCAGCGGGCCCA